ACUGUGUGUUGGGGGGGUAGUGUGUUUAUCCUGACCAGUGUUGACUGACCUCUGCUCUGCUAUACCCCCCCUCUCUUCCCAGGCUGUCUGUCUCCAGAGCCAAAUGAAUGAACUCCUGUAUAAACACACUCACACAGUCUGAGCCUCUAGCCUGCGAAACAUCAUGUCUAUCUGCUAACAGCCAUUCCAGAACAGAUAACAUGCAUGGUCUGUUUUUCUCCAAAUACAGUCAUGUCUGUCCAAUAGUCCACUUGUCUGUCUGACCCAUUGACCACCUGUCUGUCUGACCCAUUGACCACCUGUCUGUCUGACCCACUGACCACCUGGCGUUUGGAACAAAAACAAAACAAUCUAGACUAUAUAUAACAGAUUUGAUCUGGAAUUAGAUGAUGGAUGUGUCCAAAAUGGUAUCCUAUAUAGUGCACUAGUUUUGACCAGGGCUCCUACGGAAUAAGGUGUAAUUUGUAAUGCACUCCUACAUGUUGUUGUAUUCUCAUGACCGUGUCCCAAAUGGCACCCUGUUCUCCAUCUAGUGUCCCAAAUGGCACCCUGUUCUCCAUCUAGUGUCCCAAAUGGCACCCUAUUCUCUAUAUAGUGCACUACCUUUGACCAGGGCCUGUCAUGCCAAAUAGUUUCCCCCUGACAAAAAGUGUCACAAUUGGAUUCGAUGAGUUCUGGCUUCUGUUGCUAGGGAUGUUGCUAGAACUUGCAAAAUUCGGAUCGUAAUGAACCGAGCGUCCGUUGCUAUGCUGUGGUUGCUUGGAUCUAUUUCACCUCGUAAGCGCUCGCUCAGUCCGCGCAAAAUUAUAACCUCCAGAAUUGCUCUCCAAGGACGGUGUUUUUGAGGAUGACAACCAGCUGACUGCCUGCUGCUUCAGAGGACCAAAAAGACUGGAAAGAGAACACUCUUUAACAUUACCAUAUAUUUGUCUUUAUAUAAGAACAUUUGUUAAAUAGGAAGAAAUAAUGUAGGCUGUAUAUAGAUUGAUGUUGUUAGCUACUGUACUUAUUUACCUCAGCCUGUCUGGUCAGCUAGCCAGCCAGAGUAGCCAGCCAGAGUAGCCAGCCAGACAGCCAGCUAGCUUGCCAGACAUUUUUAUUUAGCUAACGUCUAGCUAGCUAGCUAGCUAGUGUAACUGUUAUUGUAGCUUUCUGUUUGUAUGUAUCUUGCAUUUCAAUGGCGUCCCUCAGAGAUUUUCUUUUAACCUUCCAACCAGGCGAAGUACAAUGAAGGCACCACUAAUCUCGACAAGAGGGGCAACGUUAAGCAUUUCUAUUAGAUAACUGGACGGAUUUAGCUAUGUACAACCAAUUUCCAUCUGGCUAGUUGGUCAUCUACAUGUUGCUAGCUAUCCAUGUAGUUCAGUGGAGAACGGCUCAUAAUAAUGUCUGGAACGGAGUAAAUGGAAUGGUAUCAAACAAGUUGUCACCAUAACACAUGAUCGGGGUUGACCUCAUUCACUAAAUCCAAGAACGGCAACAGCUGGUGUCUGACGGCGACCGAUCACUUUACCAAGUGGAUGGAGGCAAAACCCAUUUAAGGUGAGACUGAACAUGGAUGGACAAAGCGCAAGAGAAACGGAAAGAGAGCUACCGGAGAAGAAUCUAGAAUGGGGACUAAGUGUUACGACAUCCGGGCGAAAUACUUGGUUUGGAAGAAGGACUAAAGGAAGACGAGACCUGGGAAACCUCGCUGCUCUUUCACUCCUAGCUGAGGUCACCAUCUGUUAAAGGUUACCUCGGUGGAAGACAGCAAUCUUCUCCAGUUGGGACAAUCAACCACUGAAAGCACUGACACCCUACACUACGGUGAAGCCCGUGAGACAAAAACCAUCAACCGUCUGAGCCCCCCAGGAAGUAUCCCAUCUACCAGAGCCAGUGAGUUUAGAUCAGUCUGAUUCUCUGUGCUCUGAGUUGGAGGGGGACCAGCUUGAGGACCUAUGGGGGUUCUGCCCAACACCCAGACAUGGAUCCACCUGAUGUCCUCCCAUUACCAACCACCUACAGCUACUGAUAUUGUCAUGUUGUCAUUAUCUGCUAAGAAUUUUUUUUGUUGCUCUUUCAUACUGGGCACAUAAUAUGUGAGAUAUACGGAUUGACUAAAAACUACCUCGCACUGCAAACACACAGAACAAAGGGAGUAGCAGUGGCUGGACUUUCGCAUUCUCUCUCUUCAAGUCCCACUUCUGAGACUGACUGCCACAUAACAGAAAUCACUAUUUUAAUCUAUGAUUGCCAUGUGAGUGUACAACAACAACAACAACAACAACAACAACAAAAAAUCUGUGAAAAAUAAAUGAAUGAAUGACACAACUGUACCAAAAACAAAGUUUUAUGUAUUAAAAUCUUAAAUAUUG